GAUUGCCCUAGUACGGCGAGUGAAGCGGCAACAGCUCAAAUUUGAAAUCUGGCUUCGGCCCGAGUUGUAAUUUGUAGAGGAUGCUUUGGGCGCGGCGCCAACUGAGUUCCCUGGAACGGGACGCCACAGAGGGUGAGAGCCCCGUAUAGUUGGAUGCCUAGCCUAUGUAAAGCUCCUUCGACGAGUCGAGUAGUUUGGGAAUGCUGCUCAAAAUGGGAGGUAAAUUUCUUCUAAAGCUAAAUACCGGCCAGAGACCGAUAGCGCACAAGUAGAGUGAUCGAAAGAUGAAAAGCACUUUGAAAAGAGGGUUAAAUAGCACGUGAAAUUGUUGAAAGGGAAGCGCUUGUGACCAGACUUGCGCCGGGCAGAUCAUCCGGUGUUCUCACCGGUGCACUCUGCCCGGCUCAGGCCAGCAUCGGUUCUCGUGGGGGGAUAAAGGUCUCGGGAACGUAGCUCUUCCGGGAGUGUUAUAGCCCGGGGCGUAAUGCCCUCGCGGGGACCGAGGUUCGCGCAUCUGCAAGGAUGCUGGCGUAAUGGUCAUCAGCGACCCGUCUGAAA
rnacentral:rRNA from 1 species